AUCUAAAACAGUUGCUACAAGAUUAUGAAAAGGCCUCAGGUCAGUCUAUAAAUCCAAACAAAUCUGCCAUCAUUUUCAGCAAAAAUGUGGGUGAAGUGGAUAGAAGAAGAUUGAGUGAGAUUCUAGGGGUACAGGGAAGUAGUUCUGGCAAUUACCUUGGACUCCCAAUGAUCAUUGGAAAAAACAAGAAGGAGAUCCUAAGCUUUAUAAAAAAGAAAAAUUGCCAACUAUAUCCAAGGAUGGAAUCACAGGUUCAUAUCUAGAGCAGAGCAUGAGAUAUUAUUGAAGACUGUCCCCCAAGCACUUCCCACAUAUGCCAUGGGAGUUUUCUUACUACCAAAGAUCAGAGACUUGCCAAGGAAAUUGAAGUUAUCAUGAACUCUUAUUGGUGGAAGGGUGGAGGGCAGAUUAACGGGGGCUUCAAUUAGAAAUCUUGGAACCAUUUGUGUAACCCAAAGAAAUAGGGAGAUUUAUAAGGUAAGAUACUAUCUGAAUGCCUCUUUUCUGGAAGCAAAAGCUUGAGCUAACCCCUCUUAUAUCUGGAGUAGCUUGCUUGCGACCCAGGACAUAAUCCCUAAUCAUUCAAGGUAGAGAAUUGGGAAUGGUAAUCAAGUUAGAAUUUGGUCCGAUAAUGGGCUUCCAGAUUUAUCUAAUUCCAAAGUGACUUCUUACCCAUUUUCGUUAAUGGAAAACACAACAGUGGCUGAUCUUAUUGAUCCAACAAACUGCAACUGGGAUGAAGAGACCAUCAAAUCCAUUUUUAAUGAGAGAGAUACAAAUAGCAGCAUCAACGAAGUGACCUUGAUUACUGAAGCUGAAUGUUGAUGCUGCUAUCGACAAGCAUAGUGCCGAAAUGGGCUUUGGCUGUGUUCUUAAGAAUGAUCAAGGUUACUUCGUUGUUGCAAGAGGAACACAAUGGAGUGGUGUCCGAGAGGUCGAAGUUGUCGCCAUAAGAGAAUCCCUAAACUGGUUGAAAAGCCUUGACUUCGACAAUAUUAUCAUGGAAACAGAUUCAUUACAGGUGGUUCAAGAACUUAGUUCUACGUCGGGUGAUUCUUCCUUUCAUUUGUUGUUAGUUGAAAUUAAAAACUUGAUGAGUAUUUUACUUUAAGUUAGUUUAUCUUUUACUAAGCGAUCUGUGAACUAGACGGCUCAUCUACUUGCAAGGCAAUCUAUUUCUUUGUCUAAUUGCUCGGAGUGAUUCGUUAACGCUCCCAUCUUCCUUUGUAAUACUCUUUCCUCGGAUUUGAUUUAAUGCAAUUGUCUUUUCUC